CCUACGGGUGGCAGCAGUAGGGAAUAUUGCUCAAUGGGGGAAACCCUGAAGCAGCAACGCCGCGUGGAGGAUGAAGGUUUUCGGAUUGUAAACUCCUUUUGUUAGAGAAGAUAAUGACGGUAUCUAACGAAUAAGCACCGGCUAACUCCGUGCCAGCAUCCGCGGUAAUACGGAGGGUGCAAGCGUUACUCGGAAUCACUGGGCGUAAAGAGCGCGUAGGCGGGAUAGCAAGUCAGAUGUGAAAUCCUAUGGCUUAACCAUAGAACUGCAUUUGAAACUGUUAUUCUGGAGUGUGGGAGAGGUAGGUGGAAUUCUUGGUGUAGGGGUAAAAUCCGUAGAGAUCAAGAGGAAUACUCAUUGCGAAGGCGACCUGCUGGAACAUUACUGACGCUGAUGCACGAAAGCGUGGGGAGCAAACAGGAUUAGAUACCCUUGUAGUC
rnacentral:rRNA from 1 species